UGGAGCUUGCGGUUUAAUUGGAUUCAACGCCGGAAAUCUUACCGGGACCGACAGCAAUAUGAAGGCCAGGCUGAAGACUUUGCCGGAUUAGCUGAGAGGUGGUGCAUGGCCGCCGUCAGUUCGUACUGUGAAGCAUCCUGUUAAGUCAGGCAACGAGCGAGACCCACGCCCACAGUUGCCAGCGUACUCUCCGGAGUGACGGGUACACUGUGGGGACCGCCGCUGCUAAAGCGGAGGAAGGAAUGGGCAACGGUAGGUCAGUAUGCCCCGAAUAUCCCGGGCUACACGCGAGCUACAAUGGUUGGUACAAUGGGUAUCUACCCCGAAAGGGGACGGGAAUCUCCUAAAACCAAUCUUAGUUCGGAUUGAGGGCUGCAACUCGCCCUCAUGAAGCUGGAAUCCGUAGUAAUCGCGUUUCAACAGAACGCGGUGAAUACGUCCCUGCUCCUU
rnacentral:rRNA from 1 species